AACGAACGCUGGCGGCAUGCCUAACACAUGCAAGUCGAACGAUGCCUUCGGGCUUAGUUGCGCACGUGUGCUUAACGCGUGGGAAUCUGCCUUUCGGUUCGGAAUACCUCAGGGAAACUUGAGCUCAUACCGGUUAACGUCGCAACACCUAAGAUUUAUCACCGAAAGAUGAGCCCUCGUAGGAUUAGCUAGUUGGUGAGGUACAGGCUCACCAAGGCGAGGAUCCUUAGCUGGUCUGAGAGCAGGAUCAUCCACACUGGGAAUGAGACACGGCCCAGAAUGGGACGGGAGGGAGGAGUGGGGAGUAUUAGACAAUGGGGGAAAGUCUGAUCCAGCAAUGCCGGGUGAGAGAGGAAGGCCGUAGGGUUGUAAAGCUGUUUGACACGGGAAGAUAAUGACGGUAACGGGAGAAUAAGCCCCGGCUAACUACGUG
rnacentral:rRNA from 1 species